rnacentral:tRNA from 1 species
CAAAAAAUAGUUUAAAGUAGAGCGUCGGCUUUGGGAGCCGGUGGUGGGGGUUAAAGCCCCCCUUUUUUGA